AGCCCGGGGAGAGAAACAGGCCGUCCCCGGGCGGAGUCCACGACUGCUUACCUGUGCGCUCUCUACCUGCCCGGUGAUCAUGAGCAGGAAGACGCUGGGACUUGCUGCAGCCAUUGCACUGAUGGGCCGGGAGACCGGCGCAGGCCGCGCGCUGUUGCCAGGAGGCUCUCGGUUGUCUUGGAAACAGACGCUCGCAGGCUGCAAAGCUGGAUGUUGAGAAGAAGCAGCACCGGCACUCAGGCCCGCGGAAAGUCACGUGCUAGAGUUACCUCUCUCCAGGUGGUGUCGCUGUUGCCACACACAGCGACGGCAAAGACGCCAUCGUUGGAAGGCUUGGUGCGCGGGAGUGGUCCAGCGGGCAUCACCCAGCACAUUGUCUCAGGUGAAGAAUGCGCCCUUCAGCCCUAUGAGGCUCUUGUCAUCGAAACCCGGAGACUCCAUUUGUCCAAGUCCCGCGUCCUGCAUGAGAAGCUGGAGCCCACGGAACCAGUCACCCAAUUUUGGAAAAUCACUGGUAGCUCAGGGAUGUCAGAGCUUGGUCCCAAGCCACCAGCAUCCUUUUCGGUAGACACCAUUGUUAGUGCUUGGAUUCAACUGCACUUACUCUAUCACUGUCCAAUUCAAGGUGGCUUAAUGCGAGCUUCUUGCCUUUAGAUCCCCAGCUCGACUCUAGGGGCAUUGAAUGCCUGGUCCUCAUUGCCCGGCCAGUGCAAAAUAUUUGGGAACUACUUCUUUAAUAAAUAAAAUUGAACACA